rnacentral:rRNA from 1 species
UGGGGAAUAUUGCACAAUGGGCGAAAGCCUGAUGCAGCAACGCCGCGUGAGGGACGACGGCCUUCGGGUUGUAAACCUCUUUAGCAAGGAAGAAGCGAAAGUGACGGUACUUGCAGAAAAAGCGCCGGCUAACUACGUGCCAGCAGCCGCGGUAAUACGUAGGGCGCAAGCGUUAUCCGGAAUUAUUGGGCGUAAAGAGCUCGUAGGCGGUUUGUCGCGUCUGCUGUGAAAACCCGAGGCUCAACCUCGGGCCUGCAGUGGGUACGGGCAGACUAGAGUGCGGUAGGGGAGAUUGGAACUCCUGGUGUAGCGGUGGAAUGCGCAGAUAUCAGGAAGAACACCGAUGGCGAAGGCAGAUCUCUGGGCCGUAACUGACGCUGAGGAGCGAAAGGGUGGGGAGCAAACAGGCUUAGAUACCCUGGUAGUCCACCCGUAAACGUUGGGAACUAGUUGUGGGUCCAUUCCACGGAUUCCGUGACGCAGCUAACGCAUUAAGUUCCCCGCCUGGGGAGUACGGCCGCAAGGCU